rnacentral:rRNA from 1 species
UACGGGGGGGGCAAGCGUUGUUCGGAAUUACUGGGCGUAAAGGGCUCGUAGGCGGCCAACUAAGUCAGACGUGAAAUCCCUCGGCUUAACCGGGGAACUGCGUCUGAUACUGGAUGGCUUGAGAUUGGGAGAGGGAUGCGGAAUUCCAGGUGUAGCGGUGAAAUGCGUAGAUAUCUGGAGGAACACCAACGGCGAAGGCAGCUCGCUGGGACGGUACUGACGCUGAGACGCGAAAGCGUGGGGAGCAAACAGG